rnacentral:lncRNA from 1 species
AUGCACAGCGGGGUCCUUAAUCUUCCUGAAGUUCAUGAACUCUGUUAUUGUCCUCCCCCCACCCCGCCCCACCCCUUCCCCCCAUCUCUCUGCUCUCUCUGGCAGCCCAGAGUGGUUGGAAGGGAAUCAUUUCGGGAACUCUCUGGUUUCCAGGAGCAUGGGCAUACCAGUCAAGCUGUUGGCCCCUUUGUGCACACAAUGACCCUGGAAACUGUUCGGCUGCACUUCUCUGGUGCUCCUGUGACCAGCUGGGGGCUGCUGGGAGCACACUGCCUGGAGGAGAGAACACCACAUAGCAGAUGACUCCAGUGCAGCAGGAGGGCCUGGAGGCCAGGGGCCCUAGCCUUGGAGGCAAGGCUGAUGACGGUGAGUGGCUCCCAGUCACCAAGCUGGGCCGCCUGGUCAAGGACAUGAAGAUCAGGUCCCUGGAGGAGACAUCUCCCUGCCCGACAAGGAGCCUGAGGUCAUUGGCUUUUCCCUGGGGAUGUCUUUUGAGGAUGAAGAUUGUACCAGUGCAAAAGCAGUUGCACGCUGGCCGGAGGACCAGGUUCAAAGUGUUUAUCACCAUUGGCAACUAUAAUAGUCACGUCACCUGGCUGUGAAGUGUUCCAAACAGAUAGCCCCUGCCAUCUAAGGGGCCAUUAGCCAGGCCAAGCUCUCCAUUGUGCCCGUGUGGGGAGACUACUGGGGGAACAAGAUCAACAAGUGCCACACUGUGCCUUGCAAAGUGACCAGACACUGUGGGUCUGUGCUGGUGCCUCAUCCCUGCUCCCAGAGCCAGUGACAAUGUCUCUGCUCCUGUCCCCAAGAAGCUGUUGCUGACAGCUCGCACUGAUGACUACUACCUCUCAGCCACGGGCUGCACCACCACCCUGGACAACUUUGAUGCCAUCUCUAAGCUACCUAUUGUAUCUGACCACCGACCGCUGCAAAGAGACUGUGCUUUCCAAGUCUCCCUCCCAGGAAUUCAUGAACUAUCUUGUAAAGACCCUUGAGCAGAGGACCCAGGCUCUGGCUAUCACUACAACAUAAGGUUUUACACAAGAACACUAAAGUGAAGUCAGCCUGUUUUAAGACAUAAUAAACUGAGGUUUGCUACGUGCUGGAUGUUGUGC